rnacentral:sRNA from 1 species
GUGUGGGCGUUAAGGGUAGAAGCGGCAUCCUUUUAUUUUUUUCAAAUAAAAGAUAUAGCGGAUAACCUGACCACGA